rnacentral:pre_miRNA from 1 species
AUAGGAAUAGCUGGGUCAAAUGGUGGUUCCAUUCCUAGUUUUCUAAGGAAUCUCCAUACUGCUUUCCAAAUUGGCUGCACCAAUUUGCAGUCCCAGCAGCCAU